UACUAUAUGAAUAAGCAUCGGCUAACUCCGUGCCAGCAGCCGCGGUAAUACGGAGGAUGCGAGCGUUAUCCGGAUUUGUUGGGUUUAAAGGGUGCGCAGGCGGGACUAUAAGUCAGCGGUGAAAUCUUGAGGCUCAACCUCAAAAUUGCCGUUGAAACUGUAACUCUUGAGUAUGGAUGAAGUAGGCGGAAUUCGUUGUGUAGCGGUGAAAUGCAUAGAUAUAACGAGGAACUCCGAUUGCGUAGGCAGCUUACUAAACCAUUACUGACGCUCAUGCACGAAAGUGUGGGUAUCAAACAGGAUUAGAUACCCUGGUAGUCCACACAGUAAACGAUGAUUACUAGUUGUUUGCGAUAUGACCGCAAGUGACUAAGCGAAAGCGAUAAGUAAUCCACCUGGGGAGUACGCCGGCAACGGUGAAACU
rnacentral:rRNA from 1 species